UACGUAGGGUGCGAGCGUUGUCCGGAAUUACUGGGCGUAAAGAGCUCGUAGGUGGUUUGUCGCGUUGUCCGUGAAAUUCCCUGGCUUAACUGGGGGCGUGCGGGCGAUACGGGCAGACUGGAGUACUGCAGGGGAGACUGGAAUUCCUGGUGUAGCGGUGGAAUGCGCAGAUAUCAGGAGGAACACCGGUGGCGAAGGCGGGUCUCUGGGCAGUAACUGACGCUGGAGGAGCGAAA
rnacentral:rRNA from 1 species